GGGCAAGGGCAGCAGGGAUCCCGGGGUGGGCUCGCGGGUGGUGCCCAGACACGGCCGGGCGGGGAGGGUCCUGAUUCCCGGCCUCUCGCUCUAGGACACUCGGUCCUUUUGUAAGCAAGUGAUGAGGCCAGAUGCUCGCUCAUUCGUGAAGACUGGUUAUGUUGCGCUGGCCUCUAACCCAGGUUUUCCAGUGAUCAUCUCAUCUUGGGAAAAUCAGCUCUGCGGAACCCCGGUAGUUCCACAGAUAAGAAUGGGGUACCAAGAUUUCCACGCGUUUGACCUUUCAGGGGCCACUCGAGUCCUUGAGUGGAUCGGUGAAAAAGGAGUCUUUGUUGCUGGUUUUGAAAGUUCGAAAAAAAAUGAGAUCCUUCAUUUGAUACUGCCGCUCAGACUCUCUGUAAAGGAGAACCAGGGUUUAUUCCCGGAGAGAGAUUUUAAAGUGUGCCAUGGAGGAUUUUCAGACAGAUCUGUCUUCGACCUAAAGCACGUGCCAGAUACCAGGUUGCUGGUGACCAGUGGCCUUCCCGGGCGUUACUUGCAGGUGUGGCAGACUGGAGAGGACAAUGAUGUUAUCGAAGCCGUCCGUACCAUUGAUGUGCAGGACAGAGAGGAGAGUCUCUGGCCUCGGGUGUCUGUCUUCUCCUCUGCAGCACCUGGAAUCCUCCACGGGACUCGGCUCAGUGGCCUGAGGACUGUGGACAUAGAAUCCCAGAAGAUCACAUACAGCUCAGGUACCAGUGACAGCGAGUUGUUGAGCAGCCUUCAGGUUCUAGAUGCGGACACCUUUGCUUUCUGUGGCACCUCAGGUCGCCUGGGGCUUGUGGACACCCGCCAGAAGUGGGCACCGUUGGAGACUCUCAGGCCCAGCCCUGGCUCUAGUGGAGAGAGGUGGUGUGCAGACGUUAGGAACAAAGGGCAAGGCCCAGGGCCCUGCAUCGCCAGCCUUGGCUCAGAUGGGCAGCUCUGUCUCCUUGACUUCCGGAACCUCUGUCACCCUGUGAGCUCAGCCCAGUGCCCCGUGUCCAAACCCAGCCCUGACCCAGAGCUGCUGCGAGUGACUUGGGCUCCAGGCCUGGACAACUGCUUGGCUAUUUCAGGCUUUGAUGGGACAGUGCAGAUCUAUGACGUCACAUCAUGGGAUGGAAAGGAAAGCCAAGUGGAGCCUCUCUUCACUCACAAAGGCCACAUCUUCCUGGAGGGAAAUGAGGUGGACGCUGCUCCUCUGGUCACCACCCACACCUGGCACCCUUGCAAACCCAGAACUUUGUUGUCAGCGGCAAGCGAUGCCUCUCUGCACGUGUGGGACUGGGUGGACCUCCAGGCCUCCAGUUGACAGCAGCCACUUCCCUCCUGGGCCUCCUUCUGAGAAGAGGGGGAGUUGCUCGAGUGGCCGAGUGGCCGCAGGACGCUGAGUGACCACGGGCCUGUCACAGCUGUUGGCUUCAGGCAGAUGGGAACCUGGGACGGUGCGUGUGGUCUAGCGAAGGAAGGACAUAGCCAUUACAUGACCAGCCAGAUUCUUCCCGGGGACACAUCCCGAGACUCUGCAUCUCGUGAGGAAGAUCUGCCCCUCACAGGCCAACCUCCAACUCCUCACACUUGUUUCCUGAUGGGAGAGCCCCACUCCCAUGAGCUGUAACUCAGCAGCCUGACAUUAGGAGGCGGAGGAAAACAUUGGUUAAGACCUGUUGGACUCUGGCGUCCAAACACCGAGAAGGAGUCGCCCCCAGAGACCACACACCACAGCCGAUGCAAAAGCAUGAGGAUUUUUAUUAAUUCUGUCAUGACAGGGUCCCCCAGCAUUCGGGAAGCCAAGGGACCUCGAAUAGCAGGUACAGUCUACUUUUAAAGGGGCUACAG